ACUAAUUCCGCCUGUAAGCCGCUCUGGAUAAGAGCAUCUGCUAAAUGAAUAAAA
rfam:Salmo salar isolate Sally breed double haploid chromosome ssa25, whole genome shotgun sequence.